UUUGAUCCUGGCUCAGGAUGAACGCUAGCGGCAGGCUUAACACAUGCAAGUCGAGGGGUAGCAGGAUUUAGUUUACUAGAUUGCUGACGACCGGCGCACGGGUGAGUAACGCGUAUACAAUUUACCUUUUACUGGAGGAUAGCCCAGAGAAAUUUGGAUUAAUACUCCAUAGUAUUAAUUGGUCACCUGGCCGAUUAAUUAAAGUUCCGGCGGUAAAAGAUGAGUAUGCGUCCUAUUAGCUAGAUGGUAAGGUAACGGCUUACCAUGGCGACGAUAGGUAGGGGUCCUGAGAGGGAGAUCCCCCACACUGGUACUGAGACACGGACCAGACUCCUACGGGAGGCAGCAGUGAGGAAUAUUGGGCAAUGGAGGCAACUCUGACCCAGCCAUGCCGCGUGCAGGAAGACUGCCCUAUGGGUUGUAAACUGCUUUUAUACAGGAAGAAACUUAUCCACGUGUGGAUAACUGACGGUACUGUAAGAAUAAGGACCGGCUAACUCCGUGCCAGCAGCCGCGGUAAUA
rnacentral:rRNA from 1 species